CUGGUGUGUUCAGAGCCAGAUCCUGUAAGACCAUAGAGUCUGGUUUAUACCACACCAUACAGCAACAUGGAGGAGUGCAUACAUGCAUGCAGCCUUGAAGUCAGCAUGUGUCUGCAUUUGCACAUACUCCACACAU